UUCCACAGGCACAGGCACCCCUGACCGCCUUAAAAAAGAAUGUUGCUUUUAUGCAGAUCAAACUGGAGUAGUCAGAGAAACUAUGGAUAAACUCAGAGAAAGACUUGCUCAAAGAAAAAGGGAUUUUCAGUCCCAGCAGGGAUAGUUCGAAAACUGGUUCAACAGAUCGCCUUGGCUUACUACUUUGUUGUCAUCUAUAAGGGGCCCUCUCAUCAUUCUGUUAUUAACUCUAACUUUUGGUCCUUGUGUCUUAAACAGGUUAGUACAAUUCAUUAAAGAUCGCCUGUCUGUUGUUCAGACUAUGGUCUUGACUCAGCAAUACCAACUACUUAAACAAGUAGAGUCCCAAAAGGACUCAAUUGAAGAACAAAACAGAUGGAUAUAAGAUUAUAUCCAUGUUAAAGAAAAAGGGGGGAAUGAAGGACCCCAGGUCAGAAUUAUACUAUAGCCUAUAAGUUUUAACAUUCUUUUUAUGACCAGCUUAUGCUAACUGAGAAACUGUAGCUAGCUGACGAUAGAUAAGGGAGUCAGCAAGCAGCAUAACAGGAUAACGAAUAGCGAAAAUCUGUGUUUAACCCGGCUGUUUCUGGCUUCUGUAUAAUAAUGCUUCUAAUGCUUUGCUAAGAAAUGAAAAAUUGCUUAAACCCUCAACUCUAAGGAGCGGGAGGCUGGCUGAGGACAAAGCGAAAGCUGGCGCCUUGCACCCCCCCCCUUCACCCACUCCCCUUGGUAACAUGUGUGACAUUUCACAGGCACCCCUGACUGCCCUACAAGAAGAGCAAAUGGUUAUCUUGCAGAGAUCACAGUCCUGCAAGGCAGGAGUCUCUCUUGGUUUACAAAUGUCCUUGAGAUUUACAACAAAGAAGUAGCCUUAUCAAUAGCUCAAUUUCCAAAGACACAUAACUCAGUUUCUCAAGCCCUAACGUCACCCUCCCCUCCAUAAAAAACCGAAGGAGAUGGAGGUAGAAGGAAAAGUAAAUAAAGUUAAAUUUCUUUUAAGACCUAAAUCUCACUAACAAGGACAUUUGAUAGCAGGAAUGUAACAUUCCACCAGGAGACUCCCAAUUGUCUUUAUGUUAGUGCCUCAUUAGAGGGAAUGUGGCCUUGGCUUGAUAGUAACCAGGCCUUCAAUAUCCUGAUAGUGCUUUCAUUCGCAUGCGUGGGCUAAUCGGCCAGUUCUGCUUCUGUAAGAUUGCUUUGUCUGCUUUCGCGCGCUGUCCCCUGACCCAAUUCACUGACGCCAAGUAUGCCUGUUCAAACUGUCAACCAAUCAGCUCAGCCCCACCCGAAACUUGUUUGUACCUGUCUAUAAAAAUCCUGCACUACCCCAGCCGGGUGUGCUCGGUUAGCUGGAGCUGCCGACCACCCGCCGGUACCUGUGUGACAAUAAACCUCUUGCUGUUUGCAUCCAGUGGCAGUGUUGGAUUCUUGGGUAAGGGGAUCCGCGGGUCUUUCAUUUGGAGGUCCCACCGAGAUCAUCGGACUCCUGCCCACGGAUCCAACUGACUCCCACCGGGAGGUAAGCUGGCCAGUAUUCUUGUCUCCUGUCUCAUGUUCUUGUUUGUAUCCAGUCUCGUGUUCUCGUUUGUAGGCCUCUGUUUUGCCUAUGCUUCGGUAGCAUAGGAUUGUACAACAGCGUGCGUUGUUGGUCUGUAUUCUGUAGGCAGCUUGAGAAGGAGCUGACGAGCUCGGACUUCUCCCCUGCCAACCCUGGGGGACGCUCCAGGGUGUCGAGGGGCCCAAUUUUUUGGGGCCCCUCAUCUGUCCGAGGGUUAUAUCCGUCUGUCCGUUCCAGAGGUGCCUCGGCUCUGGACGGAGUCUGUCCACCGCAGGGAGAUCUCGAGGCUCCCUGGGCUGGUGGAAACCAUUCUUUCGGUAGUAUACCGAAACCGCGCAGCGACCUUUUUGUUAAUUGUUUUGUGUGUUCUACUCGUUGUCCUUGGUGUUUUCUUUGAUUCUAAAAUGGGGCUUCUCCCUCAUUCACUUCCCGUGUUAAUGGCUAUUACUGGAGCCAACUGGGGUUGGUCUAACUCGAGACAGAGACUAUAAGGAAUAUUCCCAAGCAGCUGCCGAAACUCUCUUUGUUUCGGGGAAGUUUCCCUGUGUUCUCUGGCCUGACUUAGACUGCUUUACCCCUCCCCCCUUGCUGGUGGGAAAGCAUGUUGUCUGCUCCUAUGUUGGGGCUUAGGAGCUCCAAAACCGGGAAUCCUUUCUCUGCCUCCUGGCAGCACUUUGUUUCUUCUGUUUCCCCCUUCUCCUGUUUCUGUGCACCAGCGUGCGUGCAGCCUGCAUGACUAGCCUCUAGAUCAUGCACCAUGGCUCCUUCUCUCUUCACUGUCAAGGAGCAAGAAGAACACCCCCACUCCAGAUCUUCCCACGCACGUCUCAGGACACCAUUGAGAACUGGUUAUUUUACCAAGGCUUUGACUGGGAUGUCAUAUUUGAAAAGACUCAGAUAUGACCAGACAGUUUAAAGGAACUAAGGUUGACUUUAUGAAACCUGGAGCCAUAAAGCCCCUUGGGACUGACUGUUGGCCUGAUACCUUGCUUACAGAGUUCCCAGCAGCCUCACCAGUGUUUCUCUACUUGGCGCCGAGACUCCAUUGCUGCAAUGACUUCACCACGACAGAUGAUCCUUACCACGCGCAAAGACACUCCUUCACUGUCAGCGCUGGAUUCGGCUGCCUCCGCCUUUCGUAACUCCCCUAUACAUUCCUCCACUGAUCAAUAUUGACCCCAGUAGGUAGGGACAGCUCUACGCCCCUAUUCAGCAGGAAGAAGUUACAGAAGAUGAGACCUUCCACCUUCAACCACCUUAAAGAUUUAAGAGUCAAAAUUGUUCAGGGGGAAAUGAUGAGGAAGCAGGAGGCUGGCUGAGGAUGGAGAAGGGGCUGAUGCCUUGCACUCCCUCUCCACCCACUCCCCUUGGUAAUAUAUGUGACAUUCCACAGGCACAGGCACCCCUGACCGCCUUAAAAAAGAAUGUUGCUUUUAUGCAGAUCAAACUGGAGUAGUCAGAGAAACUAUGGAUAAACUCAGAGAAAGACUUGCUCAAAGAAAAAGGGAUUUUCAGUCCCAGCAGGGAUAGUUCGAAAACUGGUUCAACAGAUCGCCUUGGCUUACUACUUUGUUGUCAUCUAUAAGGGGCCCUCUCAUCAUUCUGUUAUUAACUCUAACUUUUGGUCCUUGUGUCUUAAACAGGUUAGUACAAUUCAUUAAAGAUCGCCUGUCUGUUGUUCAGACUAUGGUCUUGACUCAGCAAUACCAACUACUUAAACAAGUAGAGUCCCAAAAGGACUCAAUUGAAGAACAAAACAGAUGGAUAUAAGAUUAUAUCCAUGUUAAAGAAAAAGGGGGGAAUGAAGGACCCCAGGUCAGAAUUAUACUAUAGCCUAUAAGUUUUAACAUUCUUUUUAUGACCAGCUUAUGCUAACUGAGAAACUGUAGCUAGCUGACGAUAGAUAAGGGAGUCAGCAAGCAGCAUAACAGGAUAACGAAUAGCGAAAAUCUGUGUUUAACCCGGCUGUUUCUGGCUUCUGUAUAAUAAUGCUUCUAAUGCUUUGCUAAGAAAUGAAAAAUUGCUUAAACCCUCAACUCUAAGGAGCGGGAGGCUGGCUGAGGACAAAGCGAAAGCUGGCGCCUUGCACCCCCCCCCUUCACCCACUCCCCUUGGUAACAUGUGUGACAUUUCACAGGCACCCCUGACUGCCCUACAAGAAGAGCAAAUGGUUAUCUUGCAGAGAUCACAGUCCUGCAAGGCAGGAGUCUCUCUUGGUUUACAAAUGUCCUUGAGAUUUACAACAAAGAAGUAGCCUUAUCAAUAGCUCAAUUUCCAAAGACACAUAACUCAGUUUCUCAAGCCCUAACGUCACCCUCCCCUCCAUAAAAAACCGAAGGAGAUGGAGGUAGAAGGAAAAGUAAAUAAAGUUAAAUUUCUUUUAAGACCUAAAUCUCACUAACAAGGACAUUUGAUAGCAGGAAUGUAACAUUCCACCAGGAGACUCCCAAUUGUCUUUAUGUUAGUGCCUCAUUAGAGGGAAUGUGGCCUUGGCUUGAUAGUAACCAGGCCUUCAAUAUCCUGAUAGUGCUUUCAUUCGCAUGCGUGGGCUAAUCGGCCAGUUCUGCUUCUGUAAGAUUGCUUUGUCUGCUUUCGCGCGCUGUCCCCUGACUCAAUUCACUGACGCCAAGUAUGCCUGUUCAAACUGUCAACCAAUCAGCUCAGCCCCACCCGAAACUUGUUUGUACCUGUCUAUAAAAAUCCUGCACUACCCCAGCCUGGUGUGCUCCGUUAGCUGGAGCUGCCGACCACCCGCCGGUACCUGUGUGACAAUAAACCUCUUGCUGUUUGCAU